AAGAGACAGCAGCAGCCACGGUAAUACGUAGGGUGCGAGCGUUAAUCGGAAUUACUGGGCGUAAAGCGUGCGUAGGUGGUUUAUUAAGUUGGAUGUGAAAUCCCCGGGCUCAACCUGGGAACUGCAUUCAAAACUGACUGACUAGAGUAUGGUAGAGGGUGGUGGAAUUUCCUGUGUAGCGGUGAAAUGCGUAGAUAUAGGAAGGAACACCAGUGGCGAAGGCGACCACCUGGACUAAUACUGACACUUAGGUGCGAAAGCGUGGGGAGCAAAUAGGAUUAGAUACCCCUGUAGUCCCUGUCUCUUAUAA
rnacentral:rRNA from 1 species